rnacentral:tRNA from 1 species
GUGAGCAUAGCUCAGUUGGUAGGACAUUGCAUUAUUAUAUGCAGGGGCUGGGGUUCAAACCCCGGACACCCCA